GAUGAACGCUGGCGGCGUGCCUAAUACAUGCAAGUCGAGCGAACGGACGAGAAGCUUGCUUCUCUGAUGUUAGCGGCGGACGGGUGAGUAACACGUGGAUAACCUACCUAUAAGACUGGGAUAACUUCGGGAAACCGGAGCUAAUACCGGAUGAUAUUUUGAACCGCAUGGUUCAAAAGUGAAAGACGGUCUUGCUGUCACUUAUAGAUGGAUCCGCGCUGCAUUAGCUAGUUGGUAAGGUAACGGCUUACCAAGGCAACGAUGCAUAGCCGACCUGAGAGGGUGCUCGGCCACACUGGAACUGAGACACGGCCCAGACUCCUACGGGAGGCAGCAGUAGGGAAUCUUCCGCAAUGGGCGAAAGCCUGACGGAGCAACGCCGCGUGAGUGAUGAAGGUCUUCGGAUCGUAAAACUCUGUUAUUAGGGAAGAACAUAUGUGUAAGUAACUGUGCACAUCUUGACGGUACCUAAUCAGAAAGCCACGGCUAACUACGUG
rnacentral:rRNA from 1 species